AGUUUGUCCAAAGUUAGUGAGUUAUCUCAAUUGAUUGUUCACAGUCAGUUACAGAUCAAACACCUUGUUCUACUCUUUCUCUCCCUCUCACUACCACACUUAAUUGGUCUUAA
ensembl:Y_RNA Y_RNA Y RNA